AUUGAACGCUGGCGGCAGGCCUAACACAUGCAAGUCGAGCGGGUGAAGGGAGCUUGCUCCUGGAUUCAGCGGCGGACGGGUGAGUAAUGCCUAGGAAUCUGCCUGGUAGUGGGGGAUAACGUCCGGAAACGGGCGCUAAUACCGCAUACGUCCUGAGGGAGAAAGUGGGGGAUCUUCGGACCUCACGCUAUCAGAUGAGCCUAGGUCGGAUUAGCUAGUUGGUGGGGUAAAGGCCUACCAAGGCGACGAUCCGUAACUGGUCUGAGAGGAUGAUCAGUCACACUGGAACUGAGACACGGCCCCGACUCCUACGGGAGGCAGCAGUCGGGAAUAUUGGACAAUGGGCGAAAGCCUGAUCCAGCCAUGCCGCGUGUGUGAAGAAGGUCUUCGGAUUGUAGAGCACUUUAAGUUGGGAGGAAGGGCAGUAAGUUAAUACCUUGCUGUUUUGACGUUACCAACAGAAUAAGCACCGGCUAACUUCGUG
rnacentral:rRNA from 1 species